AUUGAACGCUGGCGGCAGGCCUAACACAUGCCAGUCGAACGGUAACAGGAAGCAGCUUGCUGCUUCGCUGACGAGUGGCGGACGGGUGAGUAAUGUCUGGGAAGCUGCCUGAUGGAGGGGGAUAACUACUGGAAACGGUAGCUAAUACCGCAUAAUGUCGCAAGACCAAAGAGGGGGGCCUUCGGGCCUCUUGCCAUCGGAUGUGCCCAGAUGGGAUUAGCUUGUUGGUGGGGUAACGGCUCACCAAGGCGACGAUCCCUAGCUGGUCUGAGAGGAUGACCAGCCACACUGGAACUGAGACACGGUCCAGACUCCUACGGGAGGCAGCAGUGGGGAAUAUUGCACAAUGGGCGCAAGCCUGAUGCAGCCAUGCCGCGUGUAUGAAGAAGGCCUUCGGGUUGUAAAGUACUUUCAGCGGGGAGGAAGGGAGUAAAGUUAAUACCUUUGCUCAUUGACGUUACCCGCAGAAGAAGCACCGGCUAACUCCGUG
rnacentral:rRNA from 1 species